rnacentral:rRNA from 1 species
GAUGAACGCUGGCGGCGUGCCUAAUACAUGCAAGUCGAGCGAACGGACGAGAAGCUUGCUUCUCUGAUGUUAGCGGCGGACGGGUGAGUAACACGUGGAUAACCUACCUAUAAGACUGGGAUAACUUCGGGAAACCGUAGCUAAUACCGGAUAAUAUUUUGAACCGCAUGGUUCAAAAGUGAAAGACGGUCUUGCUGUCACUUAUAGAUGGAUCCGCGCUGCAUUAGCUAGUUGGUAAGGUAACGGCUUACCAAGGCAACGAUGCAUAGCCGACCUGAGAGGGUGAUCGGCCACACUGGAACUGAGACACGGUCCAGACUCCUACGGGAGGCAGCAGUAGGGAAUCUUCCGCAAUGGGCGAAAGCCUGACGGAGCAACGCCGCGUGAGUGAUGAAGGUCUUCGGAUCGUAAAACUCUGUUAUUAGGGAAGAACAUAUGUGUAAGUAACUGUGCACAUCUUGACGUUACCUACUCAGAAAGCCACGGCUAACUACGUG